GUGGACGUAGCAGUAACCGCAGUGGUGAGAGUGUGGUGUGCAUUUGUCCAUUUUAGUUGUCUACUCCAUUUAUACGUAAGUCACCUAGAACAAGACACAGCUGGGCAGUAAGCAGACCGCUGCCAGAUGCUGGGAAGCAGAGGAAGGGAGAUGUGAGCUCCCUCAAAUGGUCCUCAGGCCCCCAGGGGUCCCAAGUGUGUCUCCCCAGAGUAAGGCUGGGGAUGUGAGGCAUCGGCCCAUCACCUGCAGCCAGGGCGGCAGAGCCCUGCACACCCUCAAUACCACAGCUGGGCCUGUAUUUCUAGGAUCCUAAGGCAGCACUCUUGCACCCUGGCUCUGCUUGACCCCAUUGGAUGUGACCAAACAAGCCUUUUAACUCAUUUAUCCUCGCAACCAGGCUGCUAUUUUACAGAUGAAAAGCCUGAGUUCAGAGAGGUCCUCUGCACAGCUGCAUAGGUAGUGAGCAGCAGAGCCAGGAGAGGACGCACAAUUUGGCUCCAAAGACUUGAGCUCCUUGGCACACUGCAGCUCCAAGCUCAGGAGCAGCUCAAGACACUCUUCCAGGUCCCUUUUCUCCUUUUCCUUCUAAUCUGAAACCAGGCCCGCUGUGGUGAACUGAGCCUGUCUCCAUCCCAUCUCCACAGGGGCUGGGAAACGCUUCCCGGACGGGCCAUGCUCAGCAGGUUAUUACUGUCCCCCUGGCCAGACCUCAGCCACCCCUAUAUCUUUCCGGUGCCCCCGUGGCUUCUACUGUUCCGAGGGAUCUCCCCAGCCAAGGGCCUGUGAGAACGGAACAUUCCAGCCCCAGGAAGCAAAGGACUCCUGUGAGCCCUGCCCCGCAGGAUUCUACUGUGACGCCUCUGGCAAAGGACCCAGCCUGUGCCUCCGGGGCUACUUCUGUCCCCCAGGCUCCCACUCAGCCACUGCCCACCCAUGCCCUCGGGGGACAUUCGGGCCCAGGCAAGGGGCCACUGCAGAGCGGGACUGUGAGCUGUGCCCAGCAGGGAUGUUCUGCUCAUCAGAAGGGCUGUCCCAGCCAUCAGGGCUCUGCCACUCUGCCCACUACUGCACAGGGGGAGCAGUGUCUCCCACCCCCAUCAAACACAAGGUGGAGGUCCCAGGACUUUCUGGAAAUGACAUCUGCCCCCCUGGCUUCUUCUGCCCCAGGGGAACAGGCUCCCCAGUGCCAUGCCUGCCUGGGUUUUACUCCUCUGCCCCCGGCCUGGCCAGCGAGGACCAGUGCCAGCCGUGCCCCCGGGGGCACUACUGCAGCCGUCCUGGGCCGUCCCACUUCCUGGAGGCACAGCCCUGCCAUGCAGGGUGAGGGGCCCUGGCCCGGCACUCCUGGGGAGCAGUGGCCUGAGGAGGGAGGAGGGUCCCUAGCUCAGGCCUGCCAGGGCCCACAAGUAGCAAACUAAUCCUAAAUCCCCAUAGGUUCUUCCUAGCCCCUCUGAGGAGCACAGGCCAGGGUGACUCUCUCCCCCAGGCAGGUGGGCCUCCGACGAGCCAUCCCUUAGAUGCAUCCUCCCGGGCCCUCUCAGCACCGGCCUUCUGAGGUCCAAGGAGCUCUGGGUGUCCCACUCGGCCCCUGGGCAGCCUCCACACCCUCUGUGGCCCUGACCAGGCCUUGGCCUUUAUCCCAUUGGCCAAUAUCCUCUGCCAACAGGUGUCUGAGAUUCCUGACAGGUGCAUUUUCCUCUCAUGGUCAAAAGGACUAGGGACGACUGGCCAUGGCCACCAGGAAGUUUGGCCAGGUCCUGUGUGAAGGAAGACUUGCCCCAUGCGCUCAGGGGCCCUGAAGACAGAGAAAGUUUGGAGAGGGGCCCGUACCUGUUCUGGGAAAUGUCAGGCCCUUCCCAGAACUGAUUCCCUGAGCCCCUGCUACUUAGUUUCCUAUCAAGGGGCCAGAGCAUGUGUUAGCCCUGAGGACCAGAGGACUACUUUUCCCCCAGGGAUCGUCCGUGGCUGUGGCCACACUGGCCUUACCCUCAGCACAACUCUGACGACCACGGUCCCAAAGGCUACCCUUUCUCUUGCCUUCUUCCGCCUGGCCAGGACCCCAUGGUCGUGCUAGAGGAGGUUCAGCCACGGUUCUCCAUUUCCUCAGAUACAUCUGCCUGACAGGCAGUGCUGUCCCCUCACCCUCCGAUGGAACCCAUGGAUACAGAUGUCCCCCUGGCUUCCGCUGUCCCCCAGGGGCCCACAGCGAGCUGCCCUGUGAGCCUGGCACCUUCAGCCCCUUACCUGGGGCUGACACCUGCCUGACCUGCCCAGGGGGCACCUACUGCCAAAAGGCUGCCACCGUAGAACCCACCACCUGCCCCAAAGGUAAUGAAUGCCCUCAGACUGGCUUCUGCCCUGGCUCUCUGGGGCAGAGGGACAUUGGGCAUGACCACAGUGGACAGUGCAACUCAGGGG
rnacentral:lncRNA from 1 species